GUACUCACUUGAGCAGCACAUGUACUAAAAUUGGAAUAAUACAGAGAUUAGCAUGGCCCCU
rnacentral:snRNA from 1 species